CUACCACAUGCAAGUCGAACGGCAGCGGGGGAUAGCUUGCUAUCCUGCCGGCGAGUGGCGGACGGGUGAGUAAUGCAUGGGGAGCUGCCCAAUCGAGGGGGAUAACAACUGGAAACGGUUGCUAAUACCGCAUACCCCCUGCGGGGGAAAGGUGGGGACCUUCGGGCCUACCGCGAUUGGAUGCACCCAUGUGGGAUUAGCUAGUUGGUGAGGUAACGGCUCACCAAGGCGACAAUCUCUAGCUGGUCUGAGAGGAUGACCAGCCACACUGGAACUGAAACACGGUCCAAACUCCUACGGGAGGCAGCAGUGGGGAAUAUUGCACAAUGGGGGAAACCCUGAUGCACCCAUGCCGCGUGUGUGAAGAAGGCCUUCGGGUUGUAAAGCACUUUCAGUGGGGAGGAAGGGCUGAUGACUAAUAUUCAUCAGCAUUGACGUUACCCACAAAAAAAGCACCGGCUAACUCCGU
rnacentral:rRNA from 1 species